CCGGCACGGGUGAGUAACACGUAUCCAACCUGCCGUCUACUCUUGGACAGCCUUCUGAAAGGAAGAUUAAUACAAGAUGGCAUCAUGAGUCCGCAUGUUCACAUGAUUAAAGGUAUUCCGGUAGACGAUGGGGAUGCGUUCCAUUAGAUAGUAGGCGGGGUAACGGCCCACCUAGUCUUCGAUGGAUAGGGGUUCUGAGAGGAAGGACCCCCACAUUGGAACUGAGACACGGUCCAA
rnacentral:rRNA from 1 species